rnacentral:rRNA from 1 species
UACAGAGGGUGCAAGCGUUGUUCGGAAUUAUUGGGCGUAAAGGGCGCGUAGGCGGUGCCACAAGUCACCUGUGAAAUCUCCGGGCUUAACUCGGAGCCUGCAGGCGAAACUGUGGUGCUGGAGUGUGGGAGAGGUGCGUGGAAUUCCCGGUGUAGCGGUGAAAUGCGUAGAUAUCGGGAGGAACAUCUGUGGCGAAGGCGACUGCCUGGACCAGCACUGACACUGAGGCACGAAAGCGUGGGGAGCAAACAGG